rnacentral:tRNA from 1 species
GGGACUUUAAUUUAAGUAUAAAAUAUAUGAUUUGCAUUCAUAAAAUUUUAAGUUCUAU